GACGUAGGGCGCGAGCGUUGUCCGGAUUUAUUGGGCGUAAAGAGCCGUACGGUGGUUGUUCGCGUGUUCGUGAAAACUCACAGCUCAACUGUGGGCGUGCGGGCGGAUACGGGCAGACGUAGAGUACUGCAGGGGAGACUGGAAUUCCGGGUGUAGCGGUGGAAUGCGUAGGAGAUCCGGAAGAACACCGGUGGCGAAGGCG
rnacentral:rRNA from 1 species